UUAGUCUUACUUCACGCUUGGUUAAAAUAAAUUUCGGGGAAUUUAAUAGUUUAUAUUUUUGAGUGUUUAGUUUUUGCUUGAGUUAAUUAUUUUGUCUUGUUGGUGAGUUCAAUUUAUCUAAAUUUUAGCCGAAUUUGUUAAUCAACUCAAUUCGAUUCUAUUCUGCCAUUUUGUUUUACCAAAUUCAAUGUAAAUGUUCAAUGUUACAGAACAUUCCAAUCCAAAAUUUUCCAGAAACUCCCACUUGACAAUUCAGCAUAAGCAGAUGAUCCGACCCAAGACCUCUUCCCUCGUCACCAGCGGGAAUCCAGAAAACGGCAAGAGAAGGCGUCAAUCGCUUGCGACAAGAGCAGCACGCGUACACGCAUCAGAAAGGGAUAUGACGAUAGACGCAAUUUGGUAUAUUCUCUUGUUCAAGCUAGGAAUUUGAAAUUGUUGGGUUUUAGUUCUUAUCCGGUUUAUCAACAUUUUGACCCUGACCCUAAAAAAUCCCAAGGAGGGGAUGGAAGGCGGAAAACAAACGUCUGAGAGAAGAACUUGGGGGUUUUCUUUAAUAGAGAUAGAUUUCAAAAUAAGUGAGGGUAUUUAGGCUUCUUUUGAGACAUUCUAGCUGCUCGGCGGAGCUCUCAAAAGUUUGUGUGUGCUGUUGGAAGGAACCCGCUGCCUCCUCUUGCUCGUUUGCUGCCCCGGAAGAGAUGUCAAGAUUCAGUCGGCUUGCAUCUUUGUGGCAGAAAACAUAUUUGUGACUUGUGGUCCUAGGUAGAUUUCAUGUGAAUCUAGCUUCCAAUUUCAGUUUCGGUUCAGCAGCGUGCUCGUUAUUUCCGGAUCUUAUUUAGUGCAGACAUAUUAGACCCAUUAACAUAGUAUGUUUAGGUCACAUUGUGUGGGUAGUUUAUUAAGUGUCCUUAUAAUAUAUCUUUGUGUUCAUCUCUGUAACUUUUAUGGUCUAAGUAUAUUUGUAUCUACCUACAAUUGAGUUUCAAGUUUUCUAGGUGUUAAGCUUCUUGUUUCUCGUUAGAAAAUGUGGGAUCCCCAAGUUUUUGUAUGGUCUGUAAAGUUUUCUCCUCGUUUUCACUGUCAAGACGUGGUAAUUUUCAAUGCGAAGUUUGAACUUCUUUGGUCGGUUCAAUUAAUAUAUCUUCGGCUUGAUGUUAGAUUAAAAUAUCCUUUGAGGUCAUUUGGAAAGAGGAGAAUUGCUUAUUGAUGUUUGUUUUAUCAUUUUGGGAUCGACAGUAAUUUAUUAAAAUUUCAUUACUUCCCCUUUAUUUCUAACCCUUUUUUUUUUUUACUUUUUUUGAGUUUCUUGUCCUGAAGGUGUCGUAAUACUACAAUUUUUUUUAAUCUUGUUUUUUUCUUAAAGAAUUGCUAUGAAUAUUGCUUAUGCGUUUGUAUCUUUUUGCAUGUGAAAUCUACCUCUGAGUCCUCAUGGACUCCAUUCCUCUUGCAUUUAAGGUUCAACUUCCUUUAUCGAGUUUGCCGGCUAGAAAGUUCAAAGAAAAAAAUCCGAAAUCGGUGAAUAGGUCCUAAGUCGCAAAAAUUCUAAACAGGCCAAGAAGUCGGAGAUUUGAAAAAGUGGCAUGAACUUAGUGUAUUUAAUUAUUUUUGCGCCUAAACCCUUUGUACAUUAUUAUCUUAGUAGUUUAGGACAUGUACAAAUCAAAUAGGCCCAAAGCCUAAAGCAAAAACAAAUGGGUCCAAAUAUCGGUCCAGGCGAACAAAAAUUGGCUUUGGACCCGACCCUAUCUCCCUCUCUCUUUUUUUCUCUCUCACUUUACUACUUGUUUAUUAAUUGUUGUUAGUUUUAGGGUUGACGAAUCCAAAUCCUUGCAAAACGCCGCUUCGGUUUUAACAACUUAACCAAUCGAAUAAAA